ensembl:lncRNA
AGUAGGUAUGCACCAAUGGGUGCGUUUGGGUGUGUGCCGGGAGGAUCAUUCAGACCAGGCCGUGUCAACACCAAACCUGUAUUACUCCAAACUGAGAAAUGAAGAGCAAUGAUUGUUUUAUAAACAAAGCGUUCAUGUUUUUUAACAGACAUGGGCUUACAUUACUUUCAAUCUCAUUCCCUCAAUUUUCAUCUUGGUGACCCACUUUGAAGCGCGCCAGUCUCUUGGUAGACUGGGCCUGUGGCCCCCCCCAUCUCAGGAUGAAGAGAAGAACGAUAUCCAGCUGGAGAGUCCCAGGGCUGCCAGACAGAAGACACCUCUGCUGCAGCACUGGGAGACAGGACUGGUCAACAUGGGACACAAUGACGAAGACCAGUAGGAGGAAAAACUGAGAGAGUGGGAGAGAGAGUGGGAGAGGCAGAAAGAAAAGGGGGAGACAGAGGGAGAGAUAGAGAGGGAGAGAGAACGAGAAAGAGAGGGAGAGGAAGAGGGGGGAAGAGAGACAGAAGUGAUGGAGAUAGACAGGAAGGGGUUGGUUUCAAAGCCCUUACCAACAAGAAUGAAGAACAAAAAGUGUUGUUUAUGUUGCUCAAACAUCAACCUGCCAGGGUUUAGUUUUUUAACUAAAUCUGGUGCAUUUAUAUGUCCGAUGUAAUGGCCAUGUUGAUUAAUUCACACUGUCCCUUUUAAAUAAAUAAAAUGAUAGGAAUAUAACUUGAUUGAGGUUUGACUUAAGGAAAUGUGAUCCGAAAGGAUGGAGAAAGAAGGGAAUGGUGGGAAGAACUCGGAGAGCCCUAGUGUAUGGCGCUUCACACAUAAGUCACUUUGUAUAGAUAGAUAUAUAGAUAGAUAGAUAGAUAUAUAGAUAGAUAGAUAUAUAGAUAGAUAGAUAUAUAGAU